rnacentral:rRNA from 1 species
UACGGGGGGGGGGCAAGCGUUGUUCGGAAUUACUGGGCGUAAAGGGCUCGUAGGCGGCCAACUAAGUCGGAUGUGAAAUCCCCAGGCUUAACCUGGGAACUGCAUCCGAUACUGGAUGGCUUGAAUCCGGGAGAGGGAUGCAGAAUUCCAGGUGUAGCGGUGAAAUGCGUAGAUAUCUGGAGGAAUACCGAUGGCGAAGGCAGCCCCCUGGGAUAACACUGACGCUCAUGCACGAAAGCGUGGGGAGCAAACAGG